CAGCCGUCACGGAUAUUUGUGCGCCGGAAGCAUCAUAUCACACAAUGUUAUAUUAACCGCGGCGCACUGCAUUGAUUCCAAGCCCCCACCAAAGAAGGUUGAAAUCUACUACAACACAACGAAGCCGAGCAAGGGACCUGUGACUCAUGUUGUGCGCUUCAUGAAGCAUCCGAAUUAUGACCAAUAUAACGCCCAAAAAUAUGAUGUAGCGCUCCUGAAGGUAGAAGACAAGAUUAGGUUUGAUAGGUUUGUGAGGCCGAUAUGUCUGCCAAAAAGACACUUCCGGAUUGACGGCAAAAAACUCAUGUCUGGUGGUUGGGGAAUAAUCAG
rnacentral:lncRNA from 1 species